CGAUGUCUUACACUGUGCCAAUAGAUUGAAAACUACAUCAUGUGCAAAAGACAUUCUUACCAAAUCAAUUCUUUAUUUGUAUUUCUUUAUCUUUUUUGUCUUGAAUUUUUAAUGCAGCACGCUACAUACAGUCCCUCAGUAUCAGUCAGCAGAAAACUUUUUGGUGUUCUGGGUUUGAACCUUCUUUGUCUUCAAUAAUAACUGUGGCAUUUUCCUGCUCAACUCGUAGGAUGGUUAGUGUGGUUAAUGUUAUGCAGUAUCACAAAGUACACAGACUAUCACAGAUUGCCACGAACUGUUGCAGAGUGUUGCAGACACUGAACAUCACAGCCUACAAAGAGAUUCUGCCGCUACAACUUAAACAAGGAAAAUCUGUAAAUAUCAGUGUUAUUUAUUACAUCAACAAAAAUCAGAGUGCUGUAAACACACUACUUUUCACUUGGGGGUCUGUAUGCGUGUUUUGUUUCUUUAUUUUUUUGUUGUUUUGCUCUGUUUUUUUUUUAAUCCCCGGUUUCAUUUGCAAUAACUUGCAUACAAAAGUAACAUAAUGCAAUUCCUAUUUCUUCUUGCGGUAGUAUCCUGACCACUAAUAAGAAAUAGUACAUGAAUUGUUUGAUGUACCAGUAAACCAGUCCUUGCUAGGGGUGCAUUCCACUCAAGCAAACAAUGCCAACGUUGCGUGUUUUACGCACACAUUUUUAAACCGGAACACUUUAGGCAUCAAGUACAUAGGCAUUGUAAGCAAACCUUGGCAAACACUCUGGAAGGGGUGUUAAGAAAUGUUAUUUAACUUUCAAAAUGGAUGAACAAAAGUGAUAGUUAUAACUCGUCAAUCGGGCCUGAAACUCAACCUGAAUGAAGUGUGGCAAAUCAAGUUAUAGAUGAAAGAAAGAAAUCUAUAAUUCAGCUUGAUUAUAAAAUUUUUAUGGUCUGAGAAAAUAGUUGUCUUUCUUUAGCAGACCACAUUUUUUCCCACAUAACUCACACAAGAUCCAACAAUCUUUGUUUUCAACUUCCGUGUUGGCUAAAACUAUUAAUUUCCCAAUUAGAUGCGAAACCAAUCAGGAAUAUUAGGCAGUCGUCAAGUGUCAUAAAUAUUUCAAACUGCUGGCUGCUUGAAGUAAAAGAAUGCUGUCUUCUUCCAUAUUUACAAACUGCGGUGAACGCACAUACAGUGUUUGAAAAUGGUGCAUUCUAGUCCAAACUGUAAGCAUGACACACACCUUUCAAAUGUUUGCCCAAACACUAGUGUAAGUGGAACACACCCCUGAACUCAAGACAACACUACUAGUUGUAACAAAUGUGAGAUAUGGCCGCUUACAUUGUAUGAGUCCAUCGUCAGCGUUUAGCGUUUCAGAAUCACUGCCUGGAUACAAGGAAAAAACCUCGUUAACACUGAAAAUUGUAAGCUGGUACCCAGCUCCUCACCAUGUAAUAGUUUGGGACUUCUCACUGGGCUAGUCUAAAAACGAGAGCAGUUUACACAGCAAGAAGUUGUUGUGUUCCUGGCAAUGAGAGCAAUGGCUGCAUCCACAACUCAUGUUACAGUGACUGUUGGAAACAAUAUGCCCCUAUGGAAGCCGUCUAGCUUGUGGCUUGCAGUCGCUUCCCAUAUACAUGUGUGAUACUCGUAGCCAUAGCCGCUUGUUUGAUACCGCAGUCAAUAUGUCAUAUUUUCACAGCUGAAGGGAUGCAUCACUUUUACAUGAGUUCACUCUCAUCUCAUUUAUUGCAUUCAAAAGAUUCCUUUUUUUCCCUAGACGCACAGAGACAGAAAAGAAUUCCCUGGCGUUGUUGUGUGUAAGCUUUAUCGCGAAUAAACACAGUAACAUGGGUUCUAAGUAAAACUUUUAUGCUUUUAAUCAAUUGUGCAUUGUACGCAGAUAACUAUUUGCCAUAGUAUUUAUUAUUUAAAAAAAGUAAAGUUUAGUCCAGGUUUUGUUGCAAAGUUAAGAACAGCCGGAGAUGAGUUUCCUUGAAACAACAUUGUGGAAGUUUCCAUUGAAAUUAUCUGCAUGUUUGAUUGUAUAAGAUGUACCAAGGAGAUCUUGAUAAAGAAAUAAUGAAGCAAAUAUUUAGCUGUAUUCAGUAAAAAGCGGUGAUUGUACUUGCACCUGUAAACACUGACUGGAAGAAAAAAAAAGUGGCACAUUCAAACAGAUCUGUCUCAACUUACAGUAACAAGGAUAAUAGUAAAAGAAAAAAAUGGAGUAAGACUGCAGAAUCAUCCAUUUCUUACCAUAAGGCCAAAACAAAAGUUGUCUCUGGUCAGACUGAUGUCCUGGAAAUGAUGCGGCGACCCGGCUUCUCCCCCCCCCCCAGGGUUGGAGUGUAUUGAGUCAGAGUAAAGAUUGUCAAGUCAUGCGACUAGACCAGCUUUAUUAUGAUUAUAAGCUGAUGACAAACAACUUUGUAUCCAUAGUCUGCUAACAAUGUUCAACAUCAAUUUCAUCGGGAUCUAUCUGCAAAAAUGUGAAGGCAUUGCAGCAAUAGAGGGCGCUAUUGCAGCUCUCGCAGAGAAAAACAAAGAUUGACUAGCAUGCUUGGAUUCAAUGCAGGCGCUGACCUGAGACGGAAGACUUUUUGUGGCCAAACAGUAUUUUUGUCAACAUAUUCUUUGUAACAAACUUGUAAUUCUUAAUUUAAUGUUUAUUCUAAAUAAAAGUAUGAAAAUUUGAUUUAUGAUAGUAUUCCAUCAUGCCAGGUCUUGUUUAUUAGAAACGAUUUGAAGUUCAGCUAGACUUGCAUCUUUCAACCAAUGUAUAUGCCAUGUGUUCAGAUAAAAUGCAACCAACUGUGUCAUGACAUUCACGUCAUAUACCUUAUUUAUGAAUCACUCUGACAAAUCAGUACAUCCACCAUUUUACUGAUACAGGGCACAGUGCUUGUUCUAGUGGACCAAAUUUGCAUGCAACAGCUGGGUACCCCUAACCAGAACCAAUCUUCCAAAGUAAAUUUAGUAGGGUAGCCCGAACACAAAGGAAUUUGAGUUCAAAUUAAAAGGAGUGAACCAGUGGAUCACAGCAAGGUCUUAAUUGGCACAUUGGAAAGGUUCCAAGAAAGCGUUUUGCAGAGGUGAAAUUCAGUUUUAUUAAUUUAUUUGUUAAUUCGUAAAAAAUGUCGCAAUUACUUAAGACGGAUAUUCUGCUCUAUGGAAAUCAGAAAAUCAUGGAACAGGCAUCUGAAUUUAAGGCAACUUUUUUUAAUUAUCACAUAAUUUACUAUAUUUUGUUGGUAUGAUUAUUUGUUUUGUGUGCAUGCACUCAAUUUAAUGAGUGAUUUUUUUAAACAUUAAAUUGAGCAUUUGGUGAGCGAUUUGUGUCACAGAAAGCACAGUUCAACUUGUCAUGUCUCAAAACGAGGUCUUUUGGCCGAAGUGAAAAAGGUCCUUGCAUUCUUAGAAUUCCCAAACUUUUCAUUUUUGUUAAUGUAAAAUUAAUAAAAAAAGGAUCCCAUGUCUGGGCUUAUUUCCACGAAGCACGAAACAUUCGCUUCACAUUUCAACUUGGAUUAUUUUUUAAGACUGCAACAAAUUUAAAUGCAUUUAUAGAUUAUGUAAGGGGAAACUGUAUGGAGUACAUGUAUUUUAAAUAUUUAGGAAUUGUCGAUUCUUUGAUUUAUUUGAUAAACACAAUUAUUUAACAAACAGUAAGUUAACUGGCCUCAGACCCUUCAAAGUAGCCAGUGGUACACCUACCGCUGCUAUGAGCUGAGGUACAAGACCCUAUCCAUUUUAAGAUGACAGAAACCCUUCAAAGUAGCCAGGGGUACCCCUGUACUUGUGCAGAGCUGAGAUACAAGACCUCAUCUGUCAAUUGAUUGACAGAAACCCUUCAAAGUAGCCAGAGGUACCCCUGUACUUACACAGAGCUGAGGUACAAGACCUCAUCUGUUUAUUUUUAGUUAACAAAUAGGCAAAACUUCAACUCAUAUUUCAGGUGGGAAAUGUUUGUCCAAGAUGCUGGACUGAAGUGUUAGCAGUAAAGAUUCUGUGCACUGUGUAGAGGUGCUACCAUUUGUCAAUAAGGAAAUGCUUUAUUCUGCAUGUAGUGAGUGGUUAGCAGAUAUUUUGCUGUCACUUCAACAGAUGUGUGCUGAGCAGAACCAUAAACUGCAUUUCAGUGAUGACACCUGUUCAUUGAUGAAUUGGUGUGUGCGAGGUUCAGUUUUAUGGAACCAUUAACCCUAACCCUCCUCAAUCCUUCACCUGUUGGAGGACUGAGGAGUGUUAGGGUUAACACACAGCUUGACAAACAUUUUAAAAAGAAAACACAAAUCAACAGGGCACCAGUAAUGUCAAUAUCCUACACAUAGCAUUUGGUUGGUAAACUAGAUAUCUUUCCAGUCCCUUUCCUGAAAUGGCUUCUGGUUGCUGAGAUUUUACCAUUUUGAUUAUUAAUUUAUUACAGCCCUCGUUCGGAGACUGAAUACGAUUAUUUCAUUAUAAAUACCUGCUGAAUGUUUUUCAAAAAGAAAUUGUAAUGUAAAUAACACAGCAUAGGUCUACUGUAGUCGCAAAGGAGGGAUAUGUAAAAAUUAAUUUAAAAGUCAAUACCGAUUCAAUUUUAAAAAGUCUGUUGCAUAAGUGACAGCAUGCAGUUUCAUGACAUGUUUACUCACGAAGCUCCCUUGUGUCUCAGUAGUAAUCAUUUUUAUAAAAUAAUUAUCAGAUGAAUUUAUUCAGUGUUGUUGGAAUAAUACAAUUAAAUUGUAUACGAAGAGGUACCAUCCAGUGAAAAAUAAAGUAUUUUACUGUAAAUAAAGAAACAGAAAAUUCA